UAUUAAAAUAAAAUUAUUAUUAAUGACUCACCUUGCCAUGAAAGCUUCUCCAAAUAUUCUGGAAAUUGGAAAAAGUAUCUCCCUGUAUAGAGUAAAUAACUUGUAGUAGUCACUUCAUUAUUGGAUAAGAGUGUCAUGAAUAUUACUUUUCUCUUUCUAGAUGCUUGGUAACCCCUUGGUGGGAGCAUGUCUAGCUAAUAAUUUUGUUGGUUUGGGUACUUAUUAUAGGCUACACAACCAGAAGGAUUCUAAUGGUUUGGAUAUGAGAUGUCCCCAAAAAGCUCAUGAGUGAGACAAUGAAGGAAUGUUCACAAGUGAAAUGAUUAGAUUAUGAGAGCCUUUGAUGAAUAAUAAUUUGAAAGGAUUACUGUUGGGGGUGAUACCUGUAAGCAGGUUGGGCAUGGUUGGAGUAAGUAGGUCAGAGGGUGUAUGCUUUGAGGGUUAUAUUUUGUCACUGGGACAUUGCUUUUUCUCUCUGUUUCCUGGCUGUCAAAAUCUAAGCAGCUUUCCUCCACCAGUCUCUUCUUCCACCGUGUUCUGCCUCACCUUAGACCCAGUCAGUGCAAUGCAGUCAGCUGAUCAUUGGCUGCACCUCUGAAACUGUCAGUCAAAAUAAACCUUUCCUCCUCUAAGUUGUUUUGUCAGAUAUUUUCAUCACAGCAAUGAAAACUUGACUAAAUUUAGGACCUCUUUAUAUACUUUGUUUUAGCAAAUAUCUGACUUGGACAGAAAACCAGAUAGAAUCAGUUUCUCUCUUUUUUUUCUAUGUCUUUUCCCCUCCCCCUUCCUUUCCUCGUCCCUCCCCUCCCUGUUUCUCACAUAUUUUCUCUUCAUCACACUUUCUCUGUUAAUGAAUUCCACAAAUUUUGAGAUCAGGCAUAUAAAAGCUACUCUUGUGAUUUCAGACUAUUUACUAACUAGUUAAUUAAGCCCUAUAAUCCUCAUCUUCCUUUUAUAGUUACAGGAAUAGAACUUAGCUCAUGAUUUAUGUAAGGCAAAAAUAAUGUAAUAUAUGUGAAACCAUUAGUACUAUUCCUGGUAUAGAGUUAGUAUUUAAUAGUGUUUUUUCCAAUUAAGGAGAGAGAAUCAGUCUAAUGAUUAUGAGAACAAAUCUGGAGAAACUUUCAAACCUGUAUUCAAAUUCUAUAAUUUUUUAAUUUGCUAGAGUCUCAAUUUCUCUGUUCCUUAUUUUUUCUCAUUUCCAUAAUUCUUAAUUUUUAUUUUGUUUAAGACAUUGGGCAGAUUGAAUAAUAAGGAUGUGAUCAAUAUGUCAAUAAGCAUGAAGCGCAUGCACUGUGAUCACGGAAUAAAGUGUGAUGGGAUAUUGAAACAGAUAUAACCUGCUGUCCCUGGAGGGGACCCUCAGGCAGCUUCCCUUACUUUUCUUUUCAUUAGCAGGUAAAAAGAGAUCCAGGUAUUACUUUAAAUUGAAAAAACGUGCUCAACCCAGUCUACAGACUGUUUAGUUUUAUAUAAAACUGGAAACUCCAAAGCUGAUUGAACAUGUAACUCAACCCCUCAAGCAGCUGGCACCUCUUUCAGACUGGAAUUUACAAUAGUGUAACAGCUACCCUCUGUCCCCAUAGCAGCUCCCCAUUUCACCCAUUCCUCAGUCGCAAUUCAGGAUCAAAGUUGGACAGAGUGAGGAGAGGGAAUUCCUAGGUGGCUUCAUGUUUUCUGGUUCUCUAAGAAUGUUGAAGGUUUGGGAAGAGCCAUACAGACAAUAAUGAUGACAUCAUGGUUUCUGCUGUACACUAAAUAUUAAUACAAAUUCCACAUUAUGUUUUAAAGCUUAAUUCCACAUUUGAUGAUAUUUGGAGGUGGAGACUUUAGGAUGUUUUUAGGUUCAGAUGACAUUACAAGGGUAUAGCUUUCAUAGCCAGAUUAGGGCCCACAUAAAGAAAUAAGAAGCCCAUAGCUCUCUCUCCACCAUAUAAGGAGUAAGUGUGAGGAUGGCCAUCUGCAAAUUGGAAAGCAGAGAAUCUGACCUUACUGGAACCCAGGUCUUAGAUCAGGACUUGAGAAGCUUCCAGAACUAUGUGAAAUAAAUGUUUGUUGUUGAAGCCAUCCUGUCUAUAGUUAUUUGUGAUGGUUGCCCAAAUUGACUAAGAUGACCGCUUGAGGGGGUCCCUUGAAUAUUCUCUUUAGCUAUUAACUCAUGAUUCUCUUGUUCCUAGAUAAUUCAUCUCUGUUCCAGGGUCUUAAGAGUCUGGCCUCAGCUCUCAUUUACAAGAUGAAUAUCCUUCCUCUGGAGUCUCUUCAUGUCCCCAGAUUCUAUCUUCCGUAUCCCAAAGGUGGCUGAGAGAUCCAGGACAUUGAACAAUUUCUCACAUCCACUUCCAGUAGAGCCCUUCAUGUGGGAUGGGUAGGCUGCUUCAUGCUCACUUUGACAUCCUGACAUCUGCCUUGAUUGUACCUACAUCAAAACUGGGGAGAAAGGUCCCAUUCUCAAAUCCAGUUAUUAUUUACAAAGGAUUACAGCAAGUCUUGGCAAGAGGACUAUCUACAAAAUUUGCUGAGCCAAGUACAAAGUGAAUAUUUGGAUCCUCUGGUCACAGAUUAUUAAAAACUUACAGAUGAUGAUUAGAGUACUAAACUGCACCAUCUCAGUGCAAGGUCCUCUGAAAUGGCACAGGUUAGAUGACCUUAGACGCAGCCCUAGGAAACAGUCAUUUUGCCAGUUCUUUGGUUUCAGAUAUACCUGCAUGAUCUUUGGAAUAUUGAGAUGCUUUCUAAUAAGCCAUUACCAAAACCCCCACAUGGCACAUUUGAGUAUGAUUUAGAACUGAUUUCAUGCUGAAACAAAAACCAGUCAGUUUAGAUCAGAGCAGACAUUCUCAAAAUUCACAGGCUGCUGCCCUGAUAAAGGAACAAAUUUUCAUUAAUGUCUUAAUUUAUUUUUCUCAAUUCCAAUUGAGGAUAUCUUGAUUCUCAAGCAGAAAUGUAUUUCUUAAAGCAUAUAAAACACUACAAGCCACACCACUGGCCUCUUUGUUUUAGCUUUGAAAAAAUAACAACAGAACAAUGAGACCAAAAAAAAAAAAAAACAUAAAGUUCUAUAGUGGGGAAUAGGGAGGAUGAAAGUACAAUGUGCUAUCCAUCAAAUAUCUAACGUGUGUCAUUAUUUCCAUUAAGGUAUUUUGUAUUGAGAGCGAAUAAGACAUUUCUUAGGAGGGGGAGGGGGCCUUUCUAAUUCAAUGGCAUAGAAGCCAACAUCCCCGAGGUAAGUUCAGCGGGAGCUCAGAGAGUCGGUGCUGAGCAGCAGACACUGCAGAUACCAUCCAUCUCUCUGACACACGCAGGGCCUCAUUGUGCGGCUGCCAGACGCAGUCGGCUGAGAUGAGAAUGUCACAGAAUACAGAAAAGGAAGCAAUGCUGCUGGGCUCAUUAUUGCUCUUAUCUAUGAAUAGCCCCCAUAUAGCAGCUCGGGGGAACAUUAUUCUGAGAUGAAGAGAUGGCGAUUCUGUCCGUAGCCAUCACAAUCAACGCAGGCAGUCAAGGAGUUAAGUGAAGGAAGUACAAGGGAACACAGAAAUUCUACUUGUUAGUCAGGGAACAAGAGGACCAUAUCUCUUUCAGAGCAAUACUCUUGGUACAGAUGCUGAGUCAUCAUUUCAGCCUCUCUCAAUACUGAUGAUAUUCCACCUUCUCCCAUUCCUCAAAUUCUCAACCAAGAUGACAAAGAGUGCCCGAUAGAGACGGCAUCAUUGGGAAAGACCAUCAAAAUGGUGUGUGUGUGUGUGUGUGUGUGUGUGUGUGUGUGUGUGUGUGUGUAAAGGUGGACCGAGUGCUGGAUGAGAAACACCCGGUCAGUUUCAUGCCUGAGGCUUCCUUACUGAAAAAGAAAACAACAAAGAACAAAAUAUCCAAGUAAUCUGGAACAGGCAGAACCAACAAGAACAAAUGGUUUUGUGUAGCUAUAAACAUAGCAAAACAGAAUAUUAUAUGGUCAUUUAAGGCUCUAUGAUGAGGAGAAGGUUUAGGCCAGUCUCAAAUGAGAAGCAUUUGUGCCUGGGCAAAACUAUACUGUACCACACUUCACUGCCACAUAGGAAAGUUGUAUGAUUUACUGUUGUGCUUUGGAUGUGUGACUUGACCUGCGCCCUCAACAGCUGUAUAAUAAUGAUCCUUCUUAAAAGGAUAUCAUACUCUACAAGGAUUCACAUCUUCCCUACCUAUUCCCUGCCUGUUACUUUAAACAGACUUCUUGAAGGGAAGAAGACAAUUAGUGCAAAAUCUAUCAGAAGGCGUCUCAACCUGUCCUCCAGUCUCCAGCUAGCAACUCUCUGGAAGGAGGCCAUGUAACUCUCAUUAUUUGUUAGGCCAUGGCCUAUUUUUCCAGGCUGUUGUAUAAGGCAAAUCCAUUGCCUCAUUUCUCAUAGCCUCUCUACAAAAGAAAAAAGCAGACGGAUCUUCCCAAACUCAGACAGAAUACUGUGCACAGCCAAGUGGGCUGAAAAAGCAUGCUGCCAAAUUGGCCAGCACUGCUCCAUGUAUCGCUCUCUUCCCAGAGUCUCAGCAACAACAACAAAGAGGCUGACCCUCAAUAAAUUCAAGAAAGGGCUCAUCUGCUUCCACUUAGGUAGAAUAAUGACUUUAAACAGCAAGCAAGAGAUGUUUCCAUCAAGCCUGUCCUCCUCAGAAAUAUCACAGGGACAUUUGGUGACCAACUUAAAAAAAAAUAAAAAUAAAUCAGAGCCAGAAAAACUUCAUGUCAGAUAAAUACUGAUAUGACCCAAAUCAGCACCCUGUUCAGGACAAGUCAGUUACACACACAGAAGGAUCCUAGGUCAUGUUCUGCCGCUACAGAAAAAUUCCUCAGGAGCACAGUAUGCUUAUUUUCCUAAUAAAUAAUUAAUAAUAGCUCUCUUUAUGGAGUGUUCACAGGUUUCUGGAACUGGGAUAAGUCUUUUAUGCGGCUUCUCUAAUUCUCUCUACAACCCUGAAAUUAUUCUCACUUUACAGAUGAGAAUACUGAAGUUCGGAGAAGUUCAGACAGUUGCUCCAGCUCACAGGGGUAGAUGAUAGAGUCUGAACUACAUCUCAGAGAUGCUGAUUCAAAUGUCUCCUAUGGUAACCUUACUUUUGACAUGAACAAUUACAGGUUUUUACAUCCUCAUUGUUUUUAUCAGUACUGGUGAUGUGUGAACUUUCAUGAUAUGAUACUGAUAUAACUUUUACCCUCAGAAAAUUAAAAAAAAUAUUUUGAGAUUAUCAAUAUUAAGGGACAAAAUGGAAUAGGAUGACCCUUCUUCUGUCAUUUCUCCUGUCCUAAUGGUACUUGUCUUUUCUAGUAUUGAUACCCUGCACGUUUGUGGGAUCACCCCACUCGUUGUGCCCAUGCAACACAAUGUAAUGGCUGACUCCCAUCUGCUCUCUUUUCUCAUAGACCUAUUGGAACAAGCCAUUCAGACUGUAGGGACCAUGUUCCCAGUGGCUGCAAGGCUUCUGGUGGUGGUCAGGAGACUGGAAACUGUACAGCCUCAAAACACUCCAUCAAGCCAUUCAGCCAGUGGCAUUUCACAUAAUGCUACAUGAUUAAAGACCAUGAAGGUUAAACAUUUAACCAGACACAUAUGUCUAGCAAUGGUCUUUUGAAAACCUCCAUUCUGAGGAACCAUCUGGACAUUCCAGGUGAUCUCCAUGCCUACUGAUGGGAGUUUACUCCAUCAUACAUAAUAGUUUGGGCAAUCCAGCAGAGAGUGUAUUUGAUGGCCCCUUUGUUUUAGAUUCUUUAAGAAGAGAGCCAAAGAUUGACUUCACUUUCAUCAAAAGAAUAUCAAGUUACACAUAAAUAAGAAUGACCUUGCUCAUAAAGAGUGUUAGGAUUUAGAACGUGUUCCUGAGCAGUGUGAGGAUUCAGAUUCCAAUUGAGACUCUGAAGACUAAAACAGAGGACCAAACGGGGAUGCUGAAAUUAUAGACAAGAUAAAUUCCAGCUGGACUACAGAAAGAACUUUCUAGUGGAAAGGUUAAUAGAAGAUCUGAAUGGAUUCUCUGAAUUUCAGAAACUGAGAUAUUCAUGAAAUCAGAGUCAUAUAAGAUAAAAUUAUCUAAAGUAAAUGGAAACAUCUUCAGGACAUUUAAUAAAAAUCACUUCAGUAGAACAUACAGAACACCACAAAUACGCAUAUGUAUGUAUGUGCGUGUGUAUUAACUACACAAAGUUGUGAAUGUAGAAGUAAAAUACACUACUAUAAAGAUGAUCUUAUUACAUUAUCUCAAUAAACAUUGCACUAAUAUCAGCGCUUUCUCAGCCUCCCUUCUAGGAAGUAAUUUUUCAACAAUUAAUGUUUUGCUCUGUAGCAUAAGAUCUUCCGAAGAAUGUUUAAUUUGAUUGGAAACUAUUUAAGAUACAAAAUGGAUACUUAUAAAAAUGACCCUGCAAUCUAAAACUUUACAGUGAACUACAACAUUCUGUGACUUAAUACCUGAAAUCUGAAUACUUCAAGUUAAACUCUGGAGACCCAGUGUCAUUUUGUGAUGUACGGUUUUGCAGAGUUGAAUAUAAAGGUUUGUAUGGAGAAAGGAGUCACUUAAGUGUUUGCUCAAUAAACAUAUCAGCAUGUUUCAAUUGAA